AAAAAGAAAGCAAAAAGAUAAUGUAAACGGAAAAAAUAUAACCUAAACCUAACAGUAAAUACCCCCACACCUAUCCCAAACAUUGUCCUCAAUGUUUAAACAUAAAUAUGAAAAAAUUAAUAAGGAGAAGGAAAGGACUGCCUGGGAUGUGGGUGAUUUGAGCAGGUGAUUUGGGCAAAUCACCCGGCCAAAUCACUGGCUGUCAUGGUCUGUGGGUAGAAAGUGUUGAACCAGCAGCUGCAACAUGCUUUCCAUGUGCUGCAUCCUGUCUUGAGCCUCCACCGAAUGGUCUAGAGGUGCCUUUUAUGUCCUCCAAGGUCCACCCAAUGGCUUUCUUGUGCUUCCUCAACACAUCAAGGAGCUUUUCCUCUUCUUCUUGGCUGGGCUGGUUAGAAAUAAUUACUGGAAGUGUAUUUUCAGCCCCUAAAAAGGCAUAUUUGAGAUGGCUGGACAAGGGUUUCAGAUCUGGUGUAUCUGCUGCCUGUUCUGAUUU
rnacentral:lncRNA from 1 species